AGACACUGCUGUUGAUUGUACGACCCCAAUGCCUUUUGAUAAUGGGAAUGUAGAUGAAGGCUACUCAGGUACAGUAGAGCAUAUUGAAACACCGCUGCUACAAGUAAGUUUAUCCCUUGAGUCUCCAUCAUGCCCGGUCUGUCUCUCCUUCCUGGAACUCAGCCACAGAGUUGGGGAUUCAUUUGCAACAGUGAGCACAAGGAAACCCCUGGAUGCAGAUGCACUGACUGAACAUGAUCGCCAUUUUAUCUACUAUAUCGUAUGCAGUACCUAUGGGGUAAG